rnacentral:rRNA from 1 species
AUUGAACGCUGGCGGCAUGCCUUACACAUGCAAGUCGAACGGUAACGGGCCUUCGGGUGCCGACGAGUGGCGAACGGGGGUGUAAUACAUCGGAACGUGCCCGAUCGUGGGGGAUAACGAGGCGAAAGCUUUGCUAAUACCGCAUACGAUCUACGGAUGAAAGCAGGGGACCGCAAGGCCUUGCGCGGGCCGUGCGGCCGAUGGCAGAUUAGCCAGUUGGUGGGAUAAAAGCUUACCAAGCCGACGAUCUGUAGCUGGUCUGAGAGGAUGAUCAGCCACACUGGGACUGAGACACGGCCCAGACUCCUACGGGAGGCAGCAGUGGGGAAUUUUGGACAAUGGGCGCAAGCCUGAUACAGCCAUGCCGCGUGCAGGAUGAAGGCCUUCGGGUUGUAAACUGCUUUUGUACGGAACGAAAAGCCUUCUUUUAAUACAGGAGGGUCAUGACGGUACCGUAAGAAUAAGCACCGGCUAACUACGUG